UACGUAGGGUGCAAGCGUUGCCCGGAUUUAUUGGGCGUAAAGAGCGUGUAGGCGGCUUUGCAAGUCCGUUGUGAAAACUCGAGGCUCAACCUCGAGACGCCGGUGGAAACUGCAAAGCUAGAGUCCGGAAGAGGAGAGUGGAAUUCCUGGUGUAGCGGUGAAAUGCGCAGAUAUCAGGAAGAACACCCGUGGCGAAGGCGGCUCUCUGGGACGGUACUGACGCUGAGACGCGAAAGCGUGGGGAGCGAACAGG
rnacentral:rRNA from 1 species